rnacentral:rRNA from 1 species
AAUAUUUCGCAAUGGAGGGAACUCUGACGCAGCGACGCCGCGUGUUUGAUUAUGGNCUNNGGCUCNUNAAGCUCUUUCCUUGGNNNNNACGAUCUUCGGAUUUGACGGUACCCAAGGUGUAAGCCCCGGCUAACUACGUGCCAGCAGCCGCGGUAAUACCUAGGGGGCAAGCGUUGUCCGGAAUUAUUGGGCGUAAAGGGUUCGUAGGCGUCCUUUUAAGUCAGAUGUGAAAGACCACGGCCUAACCGUGGGGUUGCAUUUGAAACUGGAGGGCUUGAGUAUCGGAGAGGGUAGUGGAAUUCCCAGUGUAGCGGUGGAAUGCGUAGAUAUUGGGAGGAGCACCAGUGGCGAAGGCGACUACCUGGACGAAAACUGACGCUGAUGCACGAAAGCUAGGGGAGCAAACA